GCACAUCAUUUACAAUUCUAAAAAGGGAAACGACACUUCCGUCUCUUUUCUCUCUCAUCCUACUCCAAAUGUUAAUUUCCUUUCUGAAUACCUUUAA
ensembl:ncRNA D1022.16 ncRNA